rnacentral:rRNA from 1 species
GGCCUGAGUAUGUGGCGCACGGGUGAGUAACACGUGACUAACCUACCCUUGAGUGGGGAAUAACUUCGGGAAACCGAGGCUAAUACCGCAUAACACCUACGGGUCAAAGGAGCAAUUCGCUUAAGGAGGGGGUCGCGGCAGAUUAGUUAGUUGGCGGGGUAAUGGCCCACCAAGACGGUGAUCUGUAUCCGGCCUGAGAGGGCGCACGGACACACUGGAACUGAAACACGGUCCAGACUCCUACGGGAGGCGGCAGUGGGGAAUUUUGCGCAAUGGGGGAAACCCUGACGCAGCAACGCCGCGUGGAGGAUGAAGUCUCUUGGGACGUAAACUCCUUUCGAUCGGGACGAUAAUGACGGUACCGGAAGAAGAAGCCCCGGCUAACUUCGUGCCAGCAGCCGCGGUAAUACGAGGGGGGCGAGCGUUGUUCGGAAUUAUUGGGCGUAAAGGGUGCGUAGGCGGUUCGGUAAGUCUUGUGUGAAAUCUUCGGGCUCAACUCGAAGUCUGCACGAGAAACUGCCGGGCUUGAGUGUGGGAGAGGUGAGUGGAAUUUCCGGUGUAGCGGUGAAAUGCGUAGAUAUCG